rnacentral:rRNA from 1 species
CGGGCUUGAAAGUUACUGAAUAUCCCUGAAAGGGGAUAGUCUCGCAAGAGACAGGAAACUAGGUGCUGCAUGGUUGUCGUCAGCUCGUGCCGUGAGGUGUCGGCUUAAGUGCCAUAACGAGCGCAACCCCUGCUGUUAGUUGCCAUCAGGUAGUGCUGGGAACUCUAACAGGACUGCUACUGUAAGGUAGAGGAGGGUGGGGAUGACGUCAAAUCAGCACGGCCCUUACGUCCGGGGCGACACACGUGUUACAAUGGUAGGUACAGAGGGUUGCUACCGGGUGACCGGAUGCUAAUCUCCUAAAACCUGCCUCAGUUCGGAUCGGAGUCUGCAACUCGACUCCGUGAAGCUGGAUUCGCUAGUAAUCGCGCAUCAGCCAUGGCGCGGUGAAUACGUUCCCGGGCC